rnacentral:lncRNA from 1 species
UAGUUGGUAUUUAUCUGCAAACUCGGGUACUAUGUGCUUUGAAUUUCUUGGUAGUUUGAAGAGCUACAUUAGAUGUCAUUCCUAAAAUUGAUGUUAUUUCUUGCCAUAAGUUUUUCUUUUUUCUAAAUUCAUGCAUAUACAUAUACAUCUACAUAUAUAUGUAUUAUUUAUAUUGGCAACUUGUUUGGAUUCCCUUUGUCUUAUGAUGGUGCAUUCACAUUUGGUUGUUUUAGUUACAUAUUCUUUUUCUUAUUUCAUCUUUUAUAAUGUGCAUUGAACGUGUAUCCAUUAAGUGGAUUUCUUAUGAUGUGUUUUUUUUCUUCCCAAACUUAGAAAAUCUUGAAUGUCUUAGUCUAGCAGAGUAUUCUGCUCCUUUGUGCUUUCACUGCUUUGAAUAAUGAAAGCUGUAGUUAUCAUUUCCACUUGAGCUACAGUGCCCCUUUAUUUUGUUGAUGGACAACAUUAUGUUGAAGUCCCCUUUUGGAAUCAAGUGUUAUGUGGUUAUGAAGGAUCAGACAAGUGCAUAGCCUUGAAGACCUCUCCAUGUGAUCCAGGAGUUGUGUUUUCCGCCAAUGUUGUUGCACAGUGUAUUUGCAAGAGUUCUAGUCUAACGUUUUAACACUGGAAGGAACAGGCUGCAUUGAAUAUCGAAUCAUUGGUUUAAUAGUUUCAGUUGAGGAACUCAUUGGCAUGGUAAUAUCACUGCCAGAAACUCAUUUGGAUCUUAUCUGGAUGAAGCUCUAAAUGUAUAUGUAGAAACUGAAGGUGUUUUGCAUUGUCAUUCAAAUAGAUAUUUUGUGUAUCUGCAAUUAGUUUUUAUUGAUGCAGAUAGUGGUUAACUUGACCUUAAGAUUCUGACAGUGUUUAGGAUUAGCAGUUUGAACUAUCAUAAGUUAUUGCUCAUUGAAAAUUUAGCCUGUGGGGGGAGGUGUUGUAUAUCGGUCCUAGGUUAUUCAGUCAUAUUGGGUUCCUCAAUUCCAGUGAUAUAAACAUAGAAUUGUUGGUUAUUCAGUCAUAUUGGGUACCUCAAUGCCAGUGAUAUAAACAUAGAAUUGUUGGUUGUUCAGUGAGCAAAUAUUAUCGGGAUAGCAGCUUGUUCUACCAUCAAAUAUGCUUAUUACUCUUGUACCAUAUGACUGAUAUUCUCAUUGGGACUAUUGUAGGGUUAGAUUGUAUUGGACCAUUGGUGACACCAACAUGGAAUCCUUUAUGUUGGUGUUCCCUCUGCAUAACUCUGGUAUGGUUCUAAAUCCCAUUUUCUGGUGUUUAGUAAUGAUAUUUCGGAGAGAAGCUUCUGUUGAUAGUAUGGAGGCUAAUAACUAUAGAAACUUGAGUCAUUUUGUUAUAAUUACGUACACAGAUUCUGUUUUGGUUUAAUGAGACUGUUACUGUAGUUCUCCAUUAUUUGAUUCUAGUGCAAUGCUUCACUUAUGUUGAAGCUUGUAUCAAUUAUUUGGAUCUUCUUGAUUCUACAGUUUGUGUUUUCUACCCUAAAACCCUAUGCACUUCGAACAUACUCCAUUGCCAUGGCUGUUACCUUCUAUAUGCUUAUUUGCUUUCAUAAAAGGUUCUGUAGUAUUAUUACUCUGCCCCCUUAUUCUUCAAUAUAGUGUGGGCUUCUUUUGGAGAAACUCAAUUAGUAGAGCCACCAGUAUGGUAUGUAGGUAUCUACAGCAUCAGUACUUCUGUAUGCUUGUUUGCUUUUGUGAAAUCUUGUAUAGUAUUGUGUUUUUCUGUACCCCAUUCGCUUCAAAUAGGGAGAGGGUGCUUCUGCUGGAGUAACUCAAUUAAAACAACCAUCAGUACGGUAUGUAGGCGUUUACACCUCUUCCUAAUACAAUGUGGAACCUGUUAUUCACUGUAUGGAUAUAUAUAUAUUUUAUUCCUUUCCUUUUUAUGUGAUAUAUUCAUUUUUAGAGAUUUCCUGUGUUAGUUAUUUUCAAUGUCUGCUCCUAUACAUCCUUUGCAUUUUAUAUUCCACCAUAUCCAGCAUCAUGGAAAGUUCGCCAUGGUUAUUUGUGAGAUUAAUUUUCUUGCAGAACCGUGCUAGAAACCCAGCAAUGGGUGGAGGAUAUUCACAGCAAGGUUAUCAAACACGUCCUCCCACUGGCUGGGCUCCUAGUGGUCCUCCAAUGCAACAACCUGGUUAUGGAUAUGGACAGUCUGGAGCAUAUUCUGGUGCAACACCUCAAUAUAAUGCAUCUCAGCCUUCUUAUCCUGGCUAUCCUCCUCAACCUGCAUCUGGUGGAUAUCCCACCAAUUGGGAUCAGUCAGCUGCUGCACCAACUCAGCAGACCUCUCAGGGAGGUAGUUAUGAUUACUAUUCCCAACAACCCUCACACCAGCAGCAAAACCCUGGUGGUUCUGCUGCGCCAGCGGAUAAUGCUAGCUACAAUUAUGGCCAGCCGCCUAUUUCAGGCUAUAAUCAGCAAGGACAAGGUUAUUCUCAAGAUGGCUAUGGUGGAUAUCAGGCACCACCUCAAUCUGGGUAUGGCCAGCCACCAGCAUAUGAUCAACAUGGUUAUCCUGCAGCCAACUAUGGUAAUGUGAGCAACCCAGCUCCAGAUACUUCCUCUUAUGGAUCUCAGGGGGAAUCAGCCCAAGCACCUCCUGUGCAGCCUGCUCCAGGGGGCCAGCAAGCAUACACUGCCAAUCAACAGCCUAGCCCAAACCCUGCAAGUUACCCGCCCCAAGUGCCUUCUCAGCCAGGUUAUGGAAUGCCCCCAACUUCUCAAACUGGUUAUGGGACUCAACCACCUGCUCAAUCUGCAUAUGGGCCUGGAUAUGGAGCACCACCUCAAGCACAAAAGCCUCCUGCUCAGUCACCCACCACUCCCGGUAGCUAUGGUCAACCACCAGCUGUGCAUCCAGGUUAUCCCCAUUCUCAGCCUCCACCUUCCGGAUAUGCUCAGCCUGAUUCUGGUGCACGUGUCCCACCAUCCAGUUAUGGUUCUACAGCAGCUCAGGCAGGCUAUGGUGGCCCCCCAGCGUAUGGUGCACCGCCGUCUGGUCAGCCAGGUUAUGGGCAGGCACCACCCUACAAUACAUCUUAUGGGGCUGCAGGAUACACACAGCCUCCUGCAUAUUCUGCUGAAGGAGCGAAUGGAAACACUCGUGGUGGGGCAUAUGAUGCUGCUGGUGCUGGUGCUCCUCCUGCUUCACAGACUGCUCAGCCAAGUGGAGUUGCCAAGACUUCCCCACAGAGUUAAAAGUGGGUUUUAAUAUUUGGUUGUGUUGUAUUUCUGUAGCAAGGCUAGUUAGGUUAGUGUUUUUAUGGAACUCUGUAUUUGGAUUUGUACUGUUUCAGUUAUUUGUUAUUGCUAGAUCUUAAAUUUCUUGUUUCCCAUGCUUUUUAUUUCCUCCUGAAUCCUAUCUUUGUUCUAUUUGAAUAAUUUGGUUUAUGGUGGACAUCGACAUGGUUACGUGUUGCUAGUUGUUUUUGGUGUUUCUCGAAUGAAUAUGUGUUCGAUGAGAAUGUUUCCUUUGCUAUCAAAAUGCAUCUCUCUUCAUUGUUCUUGCAUGUACAGUCACAAAUCGUCUUAUUGAGCAGUCUCCUUUGAAUCUUAUAUAAACGUUCUAGAGUAUCUGCAGAACACAGGCAGUGUUCAUUUCCUAGUCAAUUUCUCUUCCAUAAUCCUUUCGUUCUCUGUAACAAUGCUCUUCCUGCCUUCUCUUUCAAUCAAAACCUCUCUCAUUCCUUCAUUCCUUCCGGCCGAAUGUGCUACUUUUGCCUUUCGGGGCUGAACUGCAUUAGUCGCUUCCACAAAUCCUGGGUACUUCUGAAUAGGCCUCGGUG